AAAAGCUUAAAAUAAUUGAUUAAAAAUGAUUUUUUUUCUUCUGUUCUUUUUUAUGUUUUGUUGUCUCUUUGUGUGUAAAAAUACAGGUAUUGAGUUAAGUUCAAGCUUAUAGGAUUAUGUUAUGUGGUUAAAUAAUAGUAAUGAUUUGUAUACAACACUAUAUCACCAAUUUGUAGUCUUGCAUUCUUGCAUGAUCAUAAUUAUAUAUUUUAAUUAUUUAUAUCC
rnacentral:lncRNA from 1 species